AUUAUACCUUAACCCCACCCCCCCCCCCCCCCCCCCCCCAUGGAAAUCGAGGUCUCGAGCUCGACUCAUGAUACCGUCGAUUUGGAUAGUAUUCGUGUCAAGCGGAAGACGUUGCAGAAUCUGCUCGACGAUUGCCAUAGAGCUCCCGAGCUGCUUAAUCUCGCCGAUACUGCUCCCAGUGGAGAUAGAACCGAAACAGGUGGUUCCGGAAAGGAUUACAGCAACCCCGUUGGCUCAUCGGAGUCUCCUUAGCCGAUGAGUAUUUUAGCAGUCGUCGCUCUGCUUUUUUUUCUUCUGGUUUCUGCAAGUCCGAUCGAGACAUACAUUUACUAAUUACCGAGUUUGCUUGUUUCCUGGUUACAGGGGACAUGUUUCAAACAGAGCUUGAACUUGCCUAACCUGUAGCUAUGGAUCACUGGAUCACUUCUAAACCAAGAGGCAAGGUCACACUCUCUAUGGCGUCAGACGAGGCUGCUUCUUGAGCUUGACGCUGCUCCUAGCUUGAAGAGGCAAGGUCGCACUGUAAUCACAUUGCUUGUAUUGAAAACUUGCAGAUUAUAGUCUAUUCUUCUGCAAAAGCCUUUAGAGGAAGCAAAAAGGACAGAAGCAUUGCAGAAUGACGAUGCCUGGGUUGGAUCAUUUCAGAGCUUCAUGAGUGAUUGAUAGCUCGUGGUGGUUUAGUAAUGUUGAUGUCACUGGGAUCACUCGUAGGAAAGGUUUUCAGGUGAAAACUGAUUUUAAAACUAUGAUCUUUUCUUUGUCUUAGAUAGAACAUAAGUGUUAGAAUAGUCAAGUAACAAUGUGCUUUAGUGUCUAGAGUUAAUUGAUGUGUUGUUGAUGUAAUUUUCUUGGAUAACAAGGUUUCAAUGCAUAGAAUGAAAAAAAUUAAGAACCCCAAAA